GAAGGAAUGUGCUGGAUAUUUAAAGGUGAUACCCGGCCCACCCUGACGGUGCUGCCCCCCUCCAGAGAGGAGCUGCAGCAGGGGACGGCCACGCUCAUGUGCCUGGCCAACAAGGGCUUCCCCUCAGACUGGAGUCUGAGCUGGAGGGUGGAGGACAGCAGCAGCAGCAGCAGCAGCAGCAGCUGGGAGCAGAGCAGCAGCCCCGGGGUGCUGCAGAAGCUGGACGGCCUCUACAGCUGGAGCAGCACCCUGAGGCUCCCUGCAGACCAGUGGAGGAAGGUGGGCUCUGUGACCUGUGAGGCCACCCGGGGCUCCCAGACUCCCCUCAGAGAGACACUGAGGAGAGACCAGUGUUCCCAGUCCUGACCGGACUCACUGGGACUCUCUCACUCAUCUCACCUCUGUCACUCUCUCUCUCUCCCUUUUUCUAUCUUCACACCAAACUGACUUCAGCAAUAUUCCUCUUCUGCCUGCUGAUUUUCUUCAAGCUUUGACAAAAUAAACAUUGUUUUCACAUCA